rnacentral:rRNA from 1 species
GACGAACGCUGGCGGCGUGCCUAAUACAUGCGAGUAGAACGCUGAAGGAGGAGCUUGCUUCUCUGGAUGAGUUGCGAACGGGUGAGUAACGCGUAGGUAACCUGCCUGGUAGCGGGGGAUAACUAUUGGAAACGAUAGCUAAUACCGCAUAAUAGUAGAUGUUGCAUGACAUUUGCUUAAAAGGUGCAAUUGCAUCACUACCAGAUGGACCUGCGUUGUAUUAGCUAGUUGGUGGGGUAACGGCUCACCAAGGCGACGAUACAUAGCCGACCUGAGAGGGUGAUCGGCCACACUGGGACUGAGACACGGCCCAGACUCCUACGGGAGGCAGCAGUAGGGAAUCUUCGGCAAUGGACGGAAGUCUGACCGAGCAACGCCGCGUGAGUGAAGAAGGUUUUCGGAUCGUAAAGCUCUGUUGUAAGAGAAGAACGAGUGUGAGAGUGGAAAGUUCACACUGUGACGGUAUCUUACCAGAAAGGGACGGCUAACUACGUG